GAACACAAAAUGGCGACACGUGGUUAGCAUUCGUCGCCAACGAGAAAUUGGGGUCGGCCCGAAAGCUCUAGAAUGCACCCCUCUUCCUCCCCGGGGCCUUCCACCUCCGCGAGUUUUAUGACUUAAAAAAGCCCACAGGCUGGUCUGAAGGUCGGAGGCCUAAUUUUAACGCGUUUUCCUCCCUUUAAUUUGAAACGGGAACGCGAAUGACUGUAAAAUAGGAAGACAAACAUAAAGAUGAAGUGCUUAAUUCAAGGUCACACAAUGUCGGGGAUGGACCUCCAGAUUUCCUUACUGGAAAACAAGCUCAGGGCUCCCACUGAUUGUACAUUAUGAGACGGAGUCUUGCUAUGUUGCCCAGGCUGGUCUUGAACUCCUCACCUCAAGCGAUCCUCCCGUCUUGGCCUCCCAAGUGUCAGGAUUACGGGCAUGUGCUAUCACACCCAACCUGAUACAUUGCCUUUAUAAAUUUUUUUUUCUUUAUUCUAAAAACCAGAAAAAACAAAACUGGAUACAUGUGCAGAACAUGCAGGUUUGUUACAUAGCUGUACGUGUGCCAUGGUGGUUUGCUGCACCUAUUGACCUAUCCUGUGAGACGUGGUCUUGUAACACAGUGGUUAAGAAUGUGACUUUGGAGCCAGCCUGCUAGGGGCUGAAUUCUGACUCAGCCAUUUACUAACUGUGUGACCUUAGGGAGGAGGACCUGGUUGAUAGAAGAAUUUAUCUCGUAGUCUUAACAUCCACUGUAAUUCCAAACUUUGAGGACGAUAGAGAUCAGUGGGCUUUGACUGCCCAGCAUGCAGUCUCCAUUCUUAGGUGGGUUCCCAAGCCUGUAAAAUGUAAGCCUUAUGCUGCUGAGGGCCAUCUUGCCACCCUGAGGGAAACGCUGCCUGAGAAUGAAACAAGCAUAAGUAAAAGCUGAGCUGUGAGAUGGAGCAAGAUGAAGGCCACAUGACAUCUUUGGAGCACCUGGAUCUAACUGUGCCUUAAGCUAGUCUAACCCUGAACAUUUCAUCAUUUCAUUGACAUGAGCCCAGGUUUUCUUUUUUUUUGGAUGGAGUCUUGCUCUGUCGCCCAGGCUGGAGUGCAGUAGCUCAAUCUCGGCUCACUGCAAGCUCCACCUCCCGGGUUCACGCCAUUCUCCUGCCUUAGCCUCCCAAGUAGCUGGGACAACAGGCGCCCACCACCACUCCCAGCUAAUUUUUUGUAUUUUUAGUAGAGACGGGGUUUUACCAUGUUAGCCGGGAUGGUCUUGAUCUCCUGACCUCAUGAUCCGCCCGCCUCGGCCUCCCAAAGUGCUGGGAUUACAGGUGUGAGCCACUGCACCCAGCCCUCAGGUUUUCCCUUUUUUUACCCCUCCUUUUGAAAAUUUGAUGUGGAAUUUUGCCACCUGCAGCCAGAAGAGUUUUAACUAAUCAGUGCCAUAAAUUUUAUAUAGUUCUCCUUGCAAAAUGUGGAUCAGCCUUUCUCAGCAAAUCCUUUGUCAUAAAGUGCUGAAUUGUAAGUUUGUCAUGAGAAUCACAUGAGAUCAUGCAUGUGAAGAACCUGGCAUUAUCCUCCUCAUAGAAAAAAACCAGUAAAUAUUAACUACAGGAAGCAAGGAAGGAGUGGGGUGAGGGGAAGAAGAAGGGGUACUGAUUUAAAAGAACCCUGGAGUCCUAAGGAUAAUCUAGGAACCCUCAGACCCAAUCCGAUACCCCUAUUCUAAAUGCUCCUAGUGCCCUGUACCUUCCCCUCAUAAGCCUUCAUUAUCAUUGUAAUGAUAUGUUUAUGUAAUAUUUUGAUUAAUGUCUCUCCUUCACUGACCUAGCAGUUCUAGCAGGGCAGUGAUUUUGCUGUGUUGCAUCCCCAGCACCUAGUCUGGUAUGUGGCAUUCAGCAUAUGUUUAUUGAAUGAAUGGCCAUGUGGUUAUUCAGAUCCUCCUUGAUUAUUGGGGUUAGGAUUGUGGCAGAAGUGGCAAAAUCAGGGAGAGUAGUCCCUGUCCCCUCUGUAUCUUAUACACUGCCCACACUCCCAACACACAUACACAUACAGAGAAUUUUGUCUCAAUUAGAUAAUUAACUUCUGCUUGGUUGUAAACCAAACCACUGGUUCUUAAACUUUCAUUGGAUCAUUUUAUUGAAGAAUUAAAUAGUGUGGUUCUGGCCUAAUGUCUGGAAAGCCUUGCAGAGGAGUGGAUUAGGUCUUUGUGAUAAACAGGCAGCCUUCCCUGCUCCUGUGUCUUUAUAAAAUCUAUUUAACUGGAGUAGUCCACCCUCCCUCAGGCUCUUACAGGAAUAUGUUGGAGGCUGUAGGAAGGUGGGAAACCGAGAGGGAAAGGACUGGGCCGCUGGAGACUUCACUCAUUCCCUAGCAAGAAACAAAAGCAGUAAAAGGUGGCCCGAGGACAACCUGAAGCUCACUCCUUCAGCACUUUUGGCUGGAGGUCACUUGUUGGAGCCCCACUCAGAGCUCAGCACACCACCCCACCAGCAGCCUCCUCCUCCCAGCUGAGGCUGCAUUUCAUCCCUUCCCCCAGCCUGCUUUCCCUGAGAUAGGGGAGUGUUUCCCAGGGCCCAUGUGACUUCCACUGGCAAGUGACGAUUACCAAUGGUUUACUAGUCAGUGAAACUACCAAAGGCUUUUGUGCUGUAGUAAUCCUUUUCCUGUUUAAAACUCUGGGGAUUUUCUAAUGUUGCCAAUAGUUUUUCAAGUCAGCAAUUACUGUGUGGAUUAUGUAAUGGCUCGGUAUUA
ensembl:lncRNA PCBP1-AS1 PCBP1 antisense RNA 1